rnacentral:rRNA from 1 species
AUUAAAUAAAACUUUCAACAAAGGGAUCUCUUGGUUUCCGGCAUCGAUGAAGAACGCAGCGAAAUGCGAUAAGUAAUGUGAAUUGCARAAUUCCGUGAAUCAUCGAAUCUUUAAACGCACAUUGCGCCCUCUGGUAUUCCGGGGGGCAUGCCUGUUC